ACUUGAGAAAGAAUUUUAGUUCAACUAAAAGCAGAUAUAUCACCAAAAGAUUAAUUAAAGCUUUUAUUAUAAUUAAUUAGGGUACAGCCUAAUUAACACAGGAUACAACCUUGACAAAUGAAUAAAGAUUAUAAUAUAUAAAAUUAGCACCGUAGACUUAAAAGCAGCCAUCAAAAAAGCGUCAAAGCUUAACUUUUAAAUAUUUUUAUCCUAAAAAAUAAUCUUAUCUUCUCCUUUAGUAUUGAGUAAGUCUAUAAAAUAGAAAAUUUACUGUUAAAAUUAGUAACACGGCCCCACCUCUACAAUGCAAGCGUAUCAGGAUGAAUUCCUAAUUAACAAUAAAUAUUUUCUAUAACAAGAAAUUAAAUAUCACAAACCGUCAACCCAACACAGGAGCAUUUAAGAAAGAUUAAAAGUUUGAAAAGGAACUCGGCAAAAAGGGCUUCGCCUGUUUACCAAAAACAUCGCCUUCUGCUAAAUAAAUAUAGAAGGUACUGCCUGCCCGGUGACAUCUGUUUAACGGCCGCGGUAUAAUGACCGUGCAAAGGUAGCAUAAUCACUUGUCUCUUAAAUAGAGGCCUGUAUGAAUGGCAAGACGAAAACCCAACUGUCUCAUCAAAUUAAUCAGUGAAAUUGAUAUUCCCGUGCAAAAGCGGAAAUAAUUAUAUAAGACGAGAAGACCCUACGGAGCUUAAAACCUAAAUUAAUAUAAUUAAAUAAUAUAAUCCACGGCUUUAGGUUGGGGCGACCACGGAGAAUAAUAAAACCCCCGAGACAUAUAAUCAAGAAAAACACUUCAAGAUAACACCACAGUUGAUAUAAUUGACCCAAUAAUUGAUCAACGAACCAAGUUACCCUAGGGAUAACAGCGCAAUCCUCUCAUAGAGUCCAUAUCGACGAGAGGGUUUACGACCUCGAUGUUGGAUCAAGACUACCAAAUGGCGCAGCAACUAUUAAGGGUUCGUUUGUUCAACGAUUAAAGUCCU
rnacentral:rRNA from 1 species